UAGGGAAUCUUCGGCAAUGGACGGAAGUCUGACCGAGCAACGCCGCGUGAGUGAAGAAGGUUUUCGGAUCGUAAAGCUCUGUUGUAAGAGAAGAACGAGUGUGAGAGUGGAAAGUUCACACUGUGACGGUAUCUUACCAGAAAGGGACGGCUAACUACGUGCCAGCAGCCGCGGUAAUACGUAGGUCCCGAGCGUUGUCCGGAUUUAUUGGGCGUAAAGCGAGCGCAGGCGGUUAGAUAAGUCUGAAGUUAAAGGCUGUGGCUUAACCAUAGUACGCUUUGGAAACUGCUUAACUUGAGUGCAAGAGGGGAGAGUGGAAUUCCAUGUGUAGCGGUGAAAUGCGUAGAUAUAUGGAGGAACACCGGUGGCGAAAGCGGCUCUCUGGCUUGUAACUGACGCUGAGGCUCGAAAGCGUGGGGAGCAAACAGGAUUAGAUACCCUGGUAGUCCACGCCGUAACGAUGAGUGCUAGGUGUUAGACCCUUUCCGGGGUUUAGUGUCGCAGCUAACGCAUUAAGCACUCCGCCUGGGGAGUACGACCGCAAGGUU
rnacentral:rRNA from 1 species